rnacentral:rRNA from 1 species
AUUGAACGCUGGCGGCAGGCCUAACACAUGCAAGUCGAACGCGUGGCGGACGGGUGAGUAAUGUAUGGGGAACUGCCCGAUCGCGGGGGAUAACUACUGGCAACGGUCGCUAAUACCGCAUCCUAUCGGAUGUGCCCAUAUGGGAUUAGCUAGUAGGUGGGUUAACGGCUCACCUAGGCCACGAUCCCUAGCUGGUCUGAGAGGAUGAGCAGCGACACUGGAACGGAGACACGGCCCAGACUCCUACGGGAGGAAGCAGUGGGGCAUAUUGCACAAGGGGCGCAAGCCUGAUGCAGCCAUGCCGCGUGUAUGAAGAAGGCCUUAGGGUUGUAAAGUACUUUCAGCCGGGAGGCGUUACCGGCAGAAGAAGCACCGGCUAACUCCGUGCCAGCAGCCGCGGUAAUAC